rnacentral:rRNA from 1 species
UCUCAGUUCGGAUUGGAGUCUGCAACCCGACUCCAUGAAGCUGGAUUCGCUAGUAAUCGCGCAUCAGCCACGGCGCGGUGAAUACGUUCCCGGGCCUUGUACACACCGCCCGUCAAGCCAUGGAAGCCGGGAGUGCCUGAAGUGCGUGAGCGCAAGCAGCGCCCUAAGGUAAAACCGGUGACUGGGGCUAAGUCGUAACAAGGUAAC